AUUGAACGCUGGCGGCAGGCCUAACACAUGCAAGUCGAACGGUAACAGGAAGCAGCUUGCUGCUUUGCUGACGAGUGGCGGACGGGUGAGUAAUGUCUGGGAAACUGCCUGAUGGAGGGGGAUAACUACUGGAAACGGUAGCUAAUACCGCAUAAUGUCGCAAGACCAAAGAGGGGGACCUUCGGGCCUCUUGCCAUCGGAUGUGCCCAGAUGGGAUUAGCUAGUAGGUGGGGUAAAGGCUCACCUAGGCGACGAUCCCUAGCUGGUCUGAGAGGAUGACCAGCCACACUGGAACUGAGACACGGUCCAGACUCCUACGGGAGGCAGCAGUGGGGAAUAUUGCACAAAGGGCGCAAGCCUGAUGCAGCCAUGCCGCGUGUAUGAAGAAGGCCUUCGGGUUGUAAAGUACUUUCAGCGGGGAGGAAGGGAGUAAAGUUAAUACCUUUGCUCAUUGACGUUACCCGCAGAAGAAGCACCGGCUAACUCCGUG
rnacentral:rRNA from 1 species